UUCUUAGAUGACUGAGAUUUAAGUGCUAGAUUUUUAAUCUAGAAACAGCAAGUUUGCUUCUAGGAAU
rnacentral:tRNA from 1 species